rnacentral:rRNA from 1 species
GCUUGUCUCAAAGAUUAAGCCAUGCAUGUCUUAGUGUAAAUAACUCUUAUGAAACUGCGAAUGGCUCAUUAAAUCAGUUAUCAAAUACGUGAUGGUCGCCUACUACAUGGAUAACCGUAGUAAUUCUAGAGCUAAUACAUGCACAAAGGCCCACUCACGUGGGUUGUGUUUAUUAGAUACAGAACCAACCCAGACUCUGUCUGGUUGCUUGGUGAUUCAUGAUAACUGAAUGAAUCGCAUGCUUCGGCGGCGAUAAAUCAUUCAAGUUUCUGACCUAUCAGCUUCCGACGGUAGGGUAUUGGCCUACCGUGGCAAUGACGGGUAACGGAGAAUUAGGGUUCGAUUCCGGAGAGGGAGCCUGAGAAACGGCUACCACAUCUAAGGAAGGCAGCAGG